rnacentral:rRNA from 1 species
GACGAACGCUGGCGGCGUGCUUAACACAUGCAAGUCGAACGGAAAGGCCCUGCUUUUGUGGGGUGCUCGAGUGGCGAACGGGUGAGUAACACGUGAGUAACCUGCCCUUGACUUUGGGAUAACUUCAGGAAACUGGGGCUAAUACCGGAUAGGAGCUCCUGCUGCAUGGUGGGGGUUGGAAAGUUUCGGCGGUUGGGGAUGGACUCGCGGCUUAUCAGCUUGUUGGUGGGGUAGUGGCUUACCAAGGCUUGGACGGGUAGCCGGCCUGAGAGGGUGACCGGCCACAUUGGGACCGGGAGGCGGCCCAGACUCAUCCGGGAGGCAGGAGUGGGGAAUAUUGCACAAUGGGCGGAAGCGUGAUGCAGCAACUCCGCGUGCGGGAUGACGGCCUUCGGGUUGUAAGCCGCUUUCGCCUGUGACGAAGCGUGAGUGACGGUAAUGGGUAAAGAAGCACCGGCUAACUACGU